rnacentral:rRNA from 1 species
UGGGGAAUUUUGCACAAUGGGGGAAACCCUGAUGCAGCGACGCCGCGUGAUUUAGAAGGCCUUCGGGUUGUAAAAAUCUUUUCUAUGGGAAGAAAAUGACAGUACCAUAGGAAUAAGGACCGGCUAAUUACGUGCCAGCAGCCGCGGUAAUACGUAAGGUCCGAGCGUUGUCCGGAAUCAUUGGGCGUAAAGGGUACGUAGGCGGGUAAGCAUGUUAGAAGUGAAAUCCUAUAGCUCAACUAUAGUAAGCUUUUAAAACUGCUCAUCUUGAGGUAUGGAAGGGAAAGUGGAAUUCCUAGUGUAGCGGUGAAAUGCGCAGAUAUUAGGAGGAAUACCGGUGGCGAAGGCGACUUUCUGGCCAUAACCUGACGCUGAGGUACGAAAGCGUGGGUAGCAAACAGG